CGCGCUGUGCCGCGCUGGCGUAUGAGGUGUGUGUUCUCAGCGACGAACGAUGUCGAUGCAGACGACGAUGGAGCAAAAGAGCGAUUCGGUGCCGUUGAUGAACGGUAACGGCAGACUCGCCGAGGAGGACCGAAAGAGUGCACCGGCGAGAUUUUGGAGGAAAAUACACAUGAACGAAUGGACGUUCAGCUUGUCGCUUUUGGUAUUUUCAUUCUCCAUCGUCCUGGGCAAAUUGUUCACGAAUUACGGGAUGUUCCCAGCAAUCUGAUUCGUUUCCACAAGGAGAAUCGUUAUCGCGUGAACGAUAUCGAUAGGAUUUAUCUUCGGGGUUGAUCUAUCAGACGCGCAGUUUUUGUUUUGGUUCCCCUGGAAGCGAAAUAGCCCACGAUACAAAUUAUGCUAAAGAAAAAUGUAUAUUUUGUCGGCCGUCUUUAAGAAAUUCCUCGAGAAAGCUGUCAUGGCAAAACAAUGAUCAGUACUCUCUGCCGUCAGUUACGAGGUUCACUGCACUGUACAGUACAAUGCCAAGUG
rnacentral:misc_RNA from 1 species